GACGAACGCUGGCGGCGUGCCUAAUACAUGCCAGUAGAACGCUGAAGAGAGGAGCUUGCUCUUCUUGGAUGAGUUGCGAACGGGUGAGUAACGCGUAGGUAACCUGCCUUGUAGCGGGGGAUAACUAUUGGAAACGAUAGCUAAUACCGCAUAACAAUGGAUGACACAUGUCAUUUAUUUGAAAGGGGCAAUUGCUCCACUACAAGAUGGACCUGCGUUGUAUUAGCUAGUAGGUGAGGUAAUGGCUCAACUAGGCGACGAUACCUAGCCGACCUGAGAGGGGGAUCGGCCACACUGGGACUGAGACACGGCCCAGGCUCCUACGGGAGGCAGCAGUAGGGAAUCUUCGGCAAUGGGGGCAACCCUGAACGAGCAACGCCGCGUGAGUGAAGAAGGGUUUCGGAUCGUAAAGCUCUGUUGUAAGUCAAGAACGGGUGUGAGAGUGGAAAGUUCACACUGUGACGGUAGCUUACCAGAAAGGGACGGCUAACUACGUG
rnacentral:rRNA from 1 species